rnacentral:rRNA from 1 species
UACGUAGGGUGCAAGCGUUUGUUCGGAAUUACUGGGCGUAAAGCGCGCGUAGGCGGGCUUGUAUGUCAAUUGUGAAAUCCCCGGGCUCAACCUGGGAAUGGCAGUUGAAACUGCAAGUCUUGAGUACCCGAGAGGAUGGGAGAAUAGCUGGUGUAGUAGUGAAAUACGUAGAUAUCAGCUGGAAUACCUGAGGCGAAGGCGCCUAUCUGGUGGUGUACUGACGCUGAGGCGCGAAAGCGUGGGGAGCAAACAGG